rfam:Candidatus Falkowbacteria bacterium RIFOXYA2_FTLL_47_19 rifoxya2_full_scaffold_656, whole genome shotgun sequence.
UUGUCAGAGAGUUUGAUCCUGGCUCAGGAUGAACGCUGGCGGCGUGGCUAAGGCAUGCAAGUCGAGUGGGUUUAGACCCACGGCAAACGGGAGAGUAACGCAUUGGUAACCUACCCCGAGGACGAGGAUAAUCCGCCGAAAGGCGGGAUAAUACUCGAUAGAAUCCCGGAGAGACAUCUCUUCCGGGAUUAAAGUUCCGACGCCUCGGGAGGGGCCUAUGGCUUAUCAGCUAGUUGGUGAGGUAACGGCUCACCAAGGCUAUGACGAGUACCGGGUGUGAGAGCAUGGCCCGGCUCACUGGGACUGAGACACUGCCCAGACUCCUACGGGAGGCUGCAGUCACGAAUAUUCCUCAAUGGCCGAAAGGCUGAAGGAGCGACGCCGCGUGCAUGAAGAAGCCCUUCGGGGUGUAAAAUGCUUUUAUCUGGGAAGAACCAAUGACGGUACCAGAUGAAUAAGGGGCUGCUAACCUCGUGCCAGCAGCAGCGGUAAUACGAGGGCCCCGAGCGUUAUCCGGAUUUAUUGGGCGUAAAGGGUCCGUAGGCGGUUUGUCGCAUCUCCUGUUAAAUUCUGAGGCUCAACUUCAGAACCGCGGGAGAGAUGGAUAAACUAGAGGCCGGAAGAGGCAAGCGGAAUUGCUGGUGUAGGGGUUAAAUCCGUUAAUAUCAGCAGGAACACCGAAUGCGUAAGCAGCUUGCUGGAACGGUUCUGACGCUGAGGGACGAAAGCGUGGGGAGCGAAUGGGAUUAGAUACCCCAGUAGUCCACGCCGUAAACGUUGGAUGCUAAGCAUUGGCAGUAUCGACCCUGUCAGUGCUGUCUACCUAAGCUAACGCCUUAAGCAUCCCGCCUGGGGAGUACGAGCGCAAGCUUAAAACUCAAAGGAAUAGACGGGGACCCGCACAAGCGGUGGAGCAUGUGGUUUAAUUCGACAGUAAGC